UUGAACGCUGGCGGCAUGCCUUACACAUGCAAGUCGAACGGCAGCACGGGGGCGACCCUGGUGGCGAGUGGCGAACGGGUGAGUAACGCAUCGGAACGUACCCGGAAGUGGGGGAUAACGUAGCGAAAGUUACGCUAAUACCGCAUAUUCUGUGAGCAGGAAAGAGGGGGAUCGCAAGACCUCUCGCUUCCGGAGCGGCCGAUGUCGGAUUAGCUAGUUGGCGGGGUAAAGGCCCACCAAGGCGACGAUCCGUAGCGGGUCUGAGAGGAUGAUCCGCCACACUGGGACUGAGACACGGCCCAGACUCCUACGGGAGGCAGCAGUGGGGAAUUUUGG
rnacentral:rRNA from 1 species